AGAGUUUGAUCCUGGCUCAGGACGAACGCUGGCGGCGUGCCUAAUACAUGCAAGUAGAACGCUGAAGAGAGGAGCUUGCUCUUCUUGGAUGAGUUGCGAACGGGUGAGUAACGCGUAGGUAACCUGCCUUGUAGCGGGGGAUAACUAUUGGAAACGAUAGCUAAUACCGCAUAACAAUGGAUGACUCAUGUCAUUUAUUUGAAAGGGGCAAAUGCUCCACUACAAGAUGGACCUGCGUUGUAUUAGCUAGUAGGUGAGGUAACGGCUCACCUAGGCGACGAUACAUAGCCGACCUGAGAGGGUGAUCGGCCACACUGGGACUGAGACACGGCCCAGACUCCUACGGGAGGCAGCAGUAGGGAAUCUUCGGCAAUGGGGGCAACCCUGACCGAGCAACGCCGCGUGAGUGAAGAAGGUUUUCGGAUCGUAAAGCUCUGUUGUAAGUCAAGAACGAGUGUGAGAGUGGAAAGUUCACACUGUGACGGUAGCUUACCAGAAAGGGACGGCUAACUACGUGCCAGCAGCCGCGGUAAUACGUAGGUCCCGAGCGUUGUCCGGAUUUAUUGGGCGUAAAGCGAGCGCAGGCGGUUUGAUAAGUCUGAAGUUAAAGGCUGUGGCUCAACCAUAGUUCGCUUUGGAAACUGUCAAACUUGAGUGCAGAAGGGGAGAGUGGAAUUCCAUGUGUAGCGGUGAAAUGCGUAGAUAUAUGGAGGAACACCGGUGGCGAAAGCGGCUCUCUGGUCUGUAACUGACGCUGAGGCUCGAAAGCGUGGGGAGCAAACAGGAUUAGAUACCCUGGUAGUCCACGCCGUAAACGAUGAGUGCUAGGUGUUGGAUCCUUUCCGGGAUUCAGUGCCGCAGCUAACGCAUUAAGCACUCCGCCUGGGGAGUACGACCGCAAGGUUGAAACUCAAAGGAAU
rnacentral:rRNA from 1 species